rnacentral:lncRNA from 1 species
GGCCCUGCCUCCAUUUUGUUGUCCAGGUCCCAGCACAAAGCAGCAACUGCAACAGGCAGAGUGCAGACCAAAACCUGGAAAAGAGUGCCGAGUUUAAGAACCAAAGGACCUGAAUUCAAAUCCAGCUCUGCUACUUACUACCUUGGUGACUUUAGAUCUUGGUGCCGGCAGUGGAGUCGCCAUGGCCCUGAAACUUCGGAGACGGAUUCCCGGCUAGAUAUCGCUGCCAGCCCAGCAGUGGAAAUGGAGAUAAAGUUGGUGCAGCCCCCUGCCCUCUCCCUCAAAAUAAAACAAAAGGGGAAAAGAAAUUGUUGGAACAGGUUUUUAAUUCAUAGAGGAAAGUGGAAGUAAUC